UACAGAGGUCUCAAGCGUUGUUCGGAUUCAUUGGGCGUAAAGGGUGCGUAGGCGGCGUGGUAAGUCGGGGUGUGAAAUCUCGGAGCUUAACUCCGAAACUGCAUUCGAUACUGCCGUGCUUGAGGACUGGAGAGGAGACUGGAAUUUACGGUGUAGCGGUGAAAUGCGUAGAUAUCGUAAGGAAGACCAGUGGCGAAGGCGGGUCUCUGGACAGUUCCUGACGCUGAGACACGAAAGCCAGGGGAGCAAACGGG
rnacentral:rRNA from 1 species